rnacentral:rRNA from 1 species
UUAGGUAUGCAAGUCGAACGNUCCUUUGAAAUUUCUGAAGCUUCGGCUGAUGAUUUUUCUUUUUGGAUAGUGGCAAACGGGUGAGUAACGCGUAGGUAACCUGCCUUAAAGUUGGGAAUAGCUCAUCGAAAGAUGAGGUAAUACUCGAUGGUCUCCAAUCGCUUCGGUGUUUUGGAGUAAAGUUUCGGCGCUUUAAGAGGGGCCUGCGUCCUAUCAGCUAGUUGGUGAGGUAAAAGCUCACCAAGGCUAAGACGGGUAGCUGGUGUGAGAGCAUGUUCAGCCACCAUGGAACUGAGACACGGUCCAUACUCCUACGGGAGGCAGCAAUUAGGAAUCUUGCGCAAUGGGGGCAACCCUGACGCAGCGACACAGCGUGGAGGAGGAAGGUCUUCGGAUUGUAAACUCCUUUUAUAAGGGACGAAUAAAUGACGGUACCUUAUGAAUAAGUACCUGCUAACUACGUGCCAGAAGCAUCGGUGAUGCGUAGGGUACGAACGUUAUCCGGAGUUAUUGGGCGUAAAGAGAUGCGUAGGCGGCUUGAUAAGUCUUAAGUUAAAGUCCACGGCUCAACCGUGGAAAAGCUUUAGAUACUGUUAGGCUUGAGAUAUAGAGGGGUAAAUGGAAUUCCGAGUGGAGUGGUGAAAUACGUUGAUAUUCGGAAGAACACCAGUGGCGAAGGCGAUUUACUGGCUAUAUUCUGACGCUAAGGCUCGAAAGUAUGGGUAGCAAAACGGAUUAGAUACCCGUGUAGUCCAUACCGUAAACGAUGAAUGCUAGGUGUUUGGUUCAACUGUUUAAUGUCUUCGGAUUUUUAGANGGAAGAAUUAAGUGCCGCAG